CGCAAGAUUAAAACUCAAAGGAAUUGACGGGGGCCUGCACAAGCGGUGGAGCAUGUGGUUUAAUUCGACGCAACGCGAAGAACCUUACCUGGCCUUGACAUGCAGAGAACUUUCCAGAGAUGGAUUGGUGCCUUCGGGAACUCUGACACAGGUGCUGCAUGGCCGUCGUCAGCUCGUGUCGUGAGAUGUUGGGUUAAGUCCCGUAACGAGCGCAACCCUUGUCCUUAGUUGCCAGCACGUAAUGGUGGGAACUCUAAGGAGACUGCCGGUGACAAACCGGAGGAAGGUGGGGACGACGUCAAGUCAUCAUGGCCCUUACGACCUGGGCUACACACGUGCUACAAUGGGCGGUACAGAG
rnacentral:rRNA from 1 species